ensembl:lincRNA
UGCGGGGCAGUGCUAGCUGUGUCUGCCGAGGGAGGGGGCGGCGGCAUCGGAGGGGCGCAGGGGCUGGGGAUGUGGAGGGAGGAAGAUGAAAGGUUGGGGGAGGGUGACGAUGUUAUUGACACGACACAGGCACAAAGGGAGAGGGUGGCGGUCUCAAAGGGGGCGUGAGUGGGGAGUAGCUGGCAUCGGGAAGUGAUGGAUGCAGAGAUCGACUGGAGGUGGGGGCGGGGAUGUUGGAAGCUUGGAAACGUCAGAGUUGGAGAGUUGGAGGGGCGAGGUUGGGGGUUUGGAGGAGGGACCGUUGGCAGGAUUGGAAGGAAAUUGGCAAGGAAAGUGGCUGAAUCCUGAGCCUGGCAGGACUGGGGGCGGAUUGGAAGGAAAGGGGUACAAAUGUGGCUUUCCCCUGGCAGGGCUGGGAGUGAAGCUGUGCAGCUCAGCGCCGGUGUUUGCGACUGUGGGUUGCCACCAUGUUCAACCAGCAGCAGCAGCAGCAGUUCCAGCAGCAGCAGCUGCAGCAGCAGCAAUUGCUGCAGCUUCAGCAGCUGCUGCAGCAGCCCCCACCACAGGCCCCCUUGCCCAUGGCUGUCAGCAGGGGCCUCCCCCAGCAGCAGCCCCAGCAGCAGCUUCUGAGUCUCCAGGGGACCCACUCGGCCUCCUUCCUCAAUGGCUCCAUGCUCCAGAGAGCUUUGCUUUUGCAGCAGUUACAAGGUAUGACUCAGGCCCCUUUGCAUCCUGUGUGGACACUGGCUCCCCAGCAAGCCAAGCACUCAGUCUCACCAAAUCACAGUGACCCUGAGAGUGCCCUGACUCACAGUUAAGGACACCCAGGCUCCAGGGGUUGAAAGACUCUAAGCUGCUCAGCUGAAUGCAGGUCCAUCUGCAGACAGACUGAGGAGUGCCCUGGGCCAUGACGCUGGCUCUCUGGGCAGUGCUCCAUAUACCUCACUGACAUUCAGAUUAGAUGCCAUCUGGCCAAUGCGGAAGCUGAGAAAGUAAGUCCCUUGCCCUAGGUCACACAGCACACCAGCAGUGGCCCAGCUAGACCUCCUAAGCAGUGGGCCUUGAGCAUUAAGGCUGUGCCCUUGCCUCAGUGUCCCCAUAUGGAAAACAGUGUCAGCUCUUCCUUCCAGGCUGCUGCUCCUGAUACUACUGAUGACCCCAAGGGAAGGUACACCAACAACCCUAAUGAAAACACUGAGGCCCAGAAAGGGAUCAUGUGCCCAAGAUGAUCCUGCACAACAGGCAGGAGCUGACUGGAUGGUCACCUCUCGUCAGCUUUGCCAGGGCCUCAUGAGUGUGGAUAGUCCUGGAAGCUGACACUGACUUCCACAUGACAGCUGUAUAUGAGAAUGGACCCCAGACACAAGGACCCCCAGUGUAUACACAGAUAUUCUCUCUCUCUCUCUCUCUCUCUCACACACACACACACACACACAUUUUUUUUUCAGUACUGUAUUGAACCCAGGCCCUUGCAGGUGCUGGGCAAGAAUUCCACCACUAAACUAUGUGCCUAACCCUAUUUCCCCCUUUUACUUUUGCAUAUUAAAAGUCACACUUUUCAAAGAGAAAAAUAACAUGUUAAAAAAAAGGGCGGGGAGGUGGGAAAACCGAAACUUGUGGAAUUGUAUAGGACUACUGUGAUUGACAUAAGUGAGAGGCUGGGUGUUAUUUCUUUUUUACUGAAUAGAACAGCAUGAUCUUUAACCAUAUAAUUUGACAUUCUCUGCCAAAGCCGUUUUAACAGCUGUAUAAUAUUUCAUCGAAGGGACGUGCCCUUGCUUACCUAAGUCUUCUCAGCUGUUCUUUUUUC